GACGAACGCUGGCGGCGUGCUUAACACAUGCAAGUCGAACGGAAAGGCCCUGCUUUUGUGGGGUGCUCGAGUGGCGAACGGGUGAGUAACACGUGAGUAACCUGCCCUUGACUUUGGGAUAACUUCAGGAAACUGGGGCUAAUACCGGAUAGGAGCUCCUGCUGCAUGGUGGGGGUUGGAAAGUUUCGGCGGUUGGGGAUGGACUCGCGGCUUAUCAGCUUGUUGGUGGGGUAGUGGCUUACCAAGGCUUUGACGGGUAGCCGGCCUGAGAGGGUGACCGGCCACAUUGGGACUGAGAUACGGCCCAGACUCCUACGGGAGGCAGCAGUGGGGAAUAUUGCACAAUGGGCGGAAGCCUGAUGCAGCAACGCCGCGUGCGGGAUGACGGCCUUCGGGUUGUAAACCGCUUUCGCCUGUGACGAAGCGUGAGUGACGGUAAUGGGUAAAGAAGCACCGGCUAACUACGUGCCAGCAGCCGCCGUGACACGUAGGGUGCCAGCGUUUCCCGGAUUUAUUGGGCGCACAAGGGCUCGAACGUGGUUUGAUCGCGCUCGAAGUGCAACCUUGGGGCUUACCCUGAGCGUGCUUUCGAUACGGGUUGACUUGAGGAAGGUAGGGGAGAAUGGAAUUCCUGGUGGAGCGGUGGAAUGCGCAGAUAUCAGGAGGAACACCAGUGGCGAAGGCGGUUCUCUGGGCCUUUCCUGACGCUGAGGAGCGAAAGCGUGGGGAGCGAACAGGCUUAGAUACCCUGGUAGUCCACGCUGUAAACGGUGGGUACUAGGUGUGGGGUCCAUUCCACGGGUUCCGUGCCGUAGCUAACGCUUUAAGUACCCCGCCUGGGGAGUACGGCCGCAAGGCUAAAACUCAAAGGAAUUGACGGGGCCCCGCACAAGCGGCGGAGCAUGCGUAUUAAUUCGAUGCAACGCGUAGAACCUUACCUGGGUUUGACAUGGAUCGGGAGUGCUCAGAGAUGGGUGUGCCUCUUUUGGGGUCGGUUCACAGGUGGUGCAUGGCUGUCGUCAGCUCGUGUCGUGAGAUGUUGGGUUAAGUCCCGCAACGAGCGCAACCCUUGUUCACUGUUGCCAGCACGUUAUGGUGGGGACUCAGUGGAGACCGCCGGGGUCAACUCGGAGGAAGGUGGGGAUGACGUCAAGUCAUCAUGCCCCUUAUGUCCAGGGCUUCACGCAUGCUACAAUGGCUGGUACAGAGAGUGGCGAGCCUGUGAGGGUGAGCGAAUCUCGGAAAGCCGGUCUCAGUUCGGAUUGGGGUCUGCAACUCGACCUCAUGAAGUCGGAGUCGCUAGUAAUCGCAGAUCAGCAACGCUGCGGUGAAUACGUUCCCGGGGCU
rnacentral:rRNA from 1 species